CUCGAUGUCGGCUCGUCACAUCCUGGGGCUGGAGAAGGUCCCAAGGGUUUGGCUGUUCGCCAAUUAAAGCGGUACGUGAGCUGGGUUUAGAACGUCGUGAGACAGUUCGGUCCCUAUCUGCCGUGGGUGUCGGAAAAUUGAGAGGAGCUGCCCCUAGUACGAGAGGACCGGGGUGGACGUAUCUCUGGUGGACCUGUUGUUGCGCCAGCAGCAUAGCAGGGUAGCUAUAUACGGAAGGGAUAACCGCUGAAUGCAUCUAAGCGGGAAGCCCCCCUCAAAACCAGUUUUCCCUUGAGAGUCGUGGAAGACCACCACGUUGAUAGGCCAGAUGUGGAAGUGCGGUGACGCAUGAAGCUGACUGGUACUAAUUACUCGG
rnacentral:rRNA from 14 species